rnacentral:rRNA from 1 species
AAAUUGAAGAGUUUGAUCAUGGCUCAGAUUGAACGCUGGCGGCAGGCCUAACACAUGCAAGUCGAGCGGUAGCACAGAGAGCUUGCUCUCGGGUGACGAGCGGCGGACGGGUGAGUAAUGUCUGGGAAACUGCCUGAUGGAGGGGGAUAACUACUGGAAACGGUAGCUAAUACCGCAUAACGUCGCAAGACCAAAGUGGGGGACCUUCGGGCCUCAUGCCAUCAGAUGUGCCCAGAUGGGAUUAGCUAGUAGGUGGGGUAACGGCUCACCUAGGCGACGAUCCCUAGCUGGUCUGAGAGGAUGACCAGCCACACUGGAACUGAGACACGGUCCAGACUCCUACGGGAGGCAGCAGUGGGGAAUAUUGCACAAUGGGCGCAAGCCUGAUGCAGCCAUGCCGCGUGUGUGAAGAAGGCCUUCGGGUUGUAAAGCACUUUCAGCGGGGAGGAAGGCGGUGAGGUUAAUAACCUCAUCGAUUGACGUUACCCGCAGAAGAAGCACCGGCUAACUCCGUGCCAGCAGCCGCGGUAAUACGGAGGGUGCAAGCGUUAAUCGGAAUUACUGGGCGUAAAGCGCACGCAGGCGGUCUGUCAAGUCGGAUGUGAAAUCCCCGGGCUCAACCUGGGAACUGCAUUCGAAACUGGCAGGCUAGAGUCUUGUAGAGGGGGGUAGAAUUCCAGGUGUAGCGGUGAAAUGCGUAGAGAUCUGGAGGAAUACCGGUGGCGAAGGCGGCCCCCUGGACAAAGACUGACGCUCAGGUGCGAAAGCGUGGGGAGCAAACAGGAUUAGAUACCCUGGUAGUCCACGCCGUAAACGAUGUCGAUUUGGAGGUUGUGCCCUUGAGGCGUGGCUUCCGGAGCUAACGCGUUAAAUCGACCGCCUGGGGAGUACGGCCGCAAGGUUAAAACUCAAAUGAAUUGACGGGGGCCCGCACAAGCGGUGGAGCAUGUGGUUUAAUUCGAUGCAACGCGAAGAACCUUACCUGGUCUUGACAUCCACAGAACUUUCCAGAGAUGGAUUGGUGCCUUCGGGAACUGUGAGACAGGUGCUGCAUGGCUGUCGUCAGCUCGUGUUGUGAAAUGUUGGGUUAAGUCCCGCAACGAGCGCAACCCUUAUCCUUUGUUGC